UCCACAGAUUAUGGUGUGCCUCUUAGAAAGUACAGAAUUGAACAUCAUCCAGUGGGAUCUGGUAAUAACGUUGUGGGAUUUAACAAGUCGGCAAGAUGAAUAGGUGAAGAAACUAGAUAGAAUGCCAGCAAGAGAAGAAGCAGUGAGCUCGGCAGCGAGGAAAGUGAAUCCAGCAGUCCAUCCUAGCAAGCACGCCCGAGUACAGGAGGAGACCUCAUACAAUAAGCCAGAAUGUGCAUUUUAGCUUGCAGCCUUCUUUAACCAUGUUAAGUCCUAUUGAAAGCUACUAAUGACCUCAGUGAGCCUGGUCUAAGCAAUGCUGAAGAAGGGAAGAACAGAAUUGGAAGGCAGGAGCUGUUUUGGAGGUGUCUUCCAUAAUGUCCAAACUUGAAGAUUUUAUAAGCUGCAUUAGAUCCUGCCCUCAAUGACUGAGCCUCCCUGAAAUCUUAUCAGUUACUGCCGAGAUGAGAAGGAUAACAGGAAGGAAGAUUGCUUAAGUGGUUUUAAUGACAGUUAAUUUCAUCUAUUUAUCAAAUGACAGGUUGUUUUUUUUCCCUCAAAACUCAUUUGUCCUGACGAGAUGCUUUUGUAAGUCAUCUUUGUAAAAUAAAACUGACAAUUUUAGGCUACAAAGAGUUAUUGUAAUCUCUCUGUACAAUGUUGUCACUAUGGUAAACCACUGGAAAAUCUGUAUUUUUGAAGUAAUUUAACUUGCGUACUUUACUCAUUUGUUUGAAUGUCUGUUGAAUGCCAUGUGAGAAGUUUCUUUCCAGAGUUCUUCUAUUCAAUAGGACAGUUAUUCUUAAAAUGCUCAAUAUGUUAUUGUCUAAAUUACUGUUGCCUUAGCCUCCCACAAAUAUGUUUCUUUUCAGUAAUUCUUAAACAAAUAAGGAAUGAAUGAGUUUUUGUCCCCUUCCUGUUUUGAAUGGCAUAUUUUUCCUUUUAGUGAAAGCUUCUUCAGUCUUCAGAAUGACACUAUUACAAAGAAAGGUGCUUUACUUUUUUGCUUUUUCCAACAGAAGGUGUCUUUGGGUGCAGUGAUUUUUGAAUAUGUACGCUGUCAAGAUACAAUUACUGGAAGGAGAGACAAACUGUUGAGAAUGUCAUGCCAUACCAAAUUAAGAAGUAUUAGCUCUUACUUUGUGCAGUCUCUCCAACUAGAAUUGGACCUGUUGCAUCUGGCGUAUACUUUGACUCUAGUGGAAUAAUGUGUCCUUGGAGUUGCGUUUUAGAUUAACCUCAGAUUUAUGUUCUCUUCACAAGUCUGCUUUAAACUGCUGGGAUUAACUUCAGAGAAGGCAAGAGGUACAGCCUCCUUUGUCAGCGGCGAUGCUGGUUAAAGAAGGGGACUGCAUGCGUUCUCUCUCCUGGAGCUUCUUGUCCCCGCUAGGCAAGCGGGCUGAACUGCUUCCAUGAGCACACCCAGACUUACUUCAGGCCGUGAUAAUCAGGUUAUCAAAUAUUACUUAACUGGUAGUUUGAUUUGUUUUGACAAAAAGGCAGGGAGUGCACAGAUCAGCUGCCAAGAUGGCACAGCUGGGGGAAGGUGUGUUCACAGGAGGUAUGUUGAGCAUAGUCUCAUGGUGGCAUAGUCUUUUCAUCAGGUGCAGUUACAUCUCUUAAGAGGAUGUGACCAAAGUUUUAUGUGUUGGAAAGUUGUACAGUUCUGUCAAGUAUAUUUUUUUUUCAUGCUUCAGGAGCACACUCGAUAGUUCAAAAUAUACCUGUGCUCCUUUACUUAGUCCUUGUGCUCGACGGAGUCGGUGCGGUGAUGACAGAGGAGGCACACACAUUUCAGGAAAGUUUAUAUUUGUGGUCAACAUGAGUGAAUGGUGCAAGUGUGUCUGUACUUAGAGAACAAUCUGUUGGUCUUUACUCAUCAAAGUUUUGAUACGCAGUGCCCUGAGCUGCAUUUAAGGGAGGGGGGGAAAAAAACCAACAAUAAAACCCAACCCACAACAGAACACCCCUACUCCCCUGUGGUCUGCACUGCUGCUUCUAUGAUGGUGCUGCUGAUGCUGGUGUCUGGUGAGGCAUGCAAGCUUAAGGGCCCUGCUCUUGAUGUUUCCUAUGUCAAAAUUAGAACAGGAUGGAUGAUCUCCAGUGGUGAUCAUCCCAGUGAUGGAAGAUCCAGUGGAUGAAAGUAGUGCACUAGACGGCUCCUUCAAAACUGGCUCUUCUCACAAGAAGGCUGUCAAAUACAGGUGCUGUCCCGCAAACAGGGCUUGAGAAUACGAAGAGUAAGAGGCUUGCCUGGUCCAUCAGAAACCUGAGAGCAGCAACUCUGCUUGUGCUAUGUCUUAGGGCACUGCUAGAGGAAAAGAAGUCAGUUCAGUCACCUCCAGCUCCGCAGCAUUGAAUUAGAUUUCCUUUAGGUGGUCCUGCACUAAAGGAGGAGGAAAUGUGUGCUAGCCUCUGUCUCACCUACUGUAAGUACGCUGAAUUAGGGAGGAAAAUAACGUACUACUGUUGGAAAGGAACUGGUGUAAAAGGGAUAGUCCCAAAGUGCAGGAACAGAGCAGUUUCCCCAGGCUGCUCUGUCCUCAGCUGCGCUACCCUACCGUAGCGCCCACGCCUUCUCUACCCUAAACUCCUUUGGGCCUCAGGAGUCGAGUCGUGGGAUGAAGAGAUGGGGCACGAGGAUUCUUAAGACUGAUGCUCACAGAGAAAUUUGGGGACACGCACUAACUUAGAAGUCACUAAUGAUAUUGAUAUGUAAGAAGUAGUAGAGAUGAUGUGGCAGGCAGUGUGCACAAACGUAUUGUUUUCCUGCCAAGUUUUGAGCUAACUUGGCUUUGUACUUCUAUAUACUGUAAAACGUUGGACUUCUCAGUCAGAUUCUUUUACUAGCCUACGCUUGCAGCUUAAUGCUCAGUGCGUGCAUAGUUCAGGGAGGCAGAAAGCCAACCACAUAGUUUCCAAAAUUCUCAAUUUGCCACUGGUUCAAUUUGUGCAAGCCUAAGGUGAAACGGGGUGUGGUUCCUGGUUUGAGAGCUCUGUAGUGGCGUCCUCGGGUCAAGCCGCUGCUGAGCUCUCAGCAGCCUUGCUGAGUACGGGGUACUGACAGCGAGGAAGUGAGGUACCUCAUCCAAAGGGCUGCUCUGACGUCUCCAGCAACCUUUAACUCAGGGGAGCUGAGCAUCCACAGCUCUCUGAGACAGGCUGUAAUUCAUAUAAUCCUAUUAUGUUAAUACAGACUACUGUAGAACCAUGUUGAAAUAGUUACUGAGAUGCUUGUAAUUUCCUAAUAAUCUUUUUUACCUGCUCGAGUGCCUAUAUAUAAU